GGGGCUAUAGCCAAAUGGUAAGGCAAAGGACUUUGACUCCUUUAGUGUAGGUUCGAUUCCUACUAGCUCUGCUA
rnacentral:tRNA from 1 species